rnacentral:rRNA from 1 species
GACGGAGGAUGCAAGCGUUAACCGGAAUGAUUGGGCGUAAAGCGUCCGCAGGUGGCAGUUCAAGUCUGCUGUCAAAGACCGGGGCUUAACUUCGGAAAGGCAGUGGAAACUGAACAGCUAGAGUAUGGUAGGGGCAGAGGGAAUUCCUGGUGUAGCGGUGAAAUGCGUAGAUAUCAGGAAGAACAUCGGUGGCGAAGGCGCUCUGCUGGACCAUAACUGACACUCAGGGACGAAAGCUAGGGGAGCGAAUGGG